AGGAAAGCCAGCCCCACUGCCGCGUCACGUCAGGUCCCGUACACACUGGUGCCUCAAAACGUUUGGAGAAACACCGAGCUUCCUCAAAAGUCGAGUCUUACUUUGGGUAGCGCUUCAGUCUGAAGAUGGCGAUGGUGCUUGAGGUUUGGUGAAAACAAUGGUCUGAUCCUCAGCGUUGGUGGAAGCAGGGAGCCUGAAAGGGCAGUCAGGUGUCCUGAAUGAUGAAUCCCACUUGAUCAUCGAGUAACCUAUUGGUAUAG